UGGCCUCAGAUCAGGGAGGAUCAC
rnacentral:rRNA from 2 species